CUACGGGAGGCACCAGUGAGGAAUAUUGGACAAUGGGGGCAACCCUGAUCCAGCCAUGUCGCGUGAGUGAAGAAGGCCUUCGGGUUGUAAAGCUCUUUCGAAUGUGAAGAUGAUGACGGUAGCAUUUAAAGAAGCUCCGGCUAACUUCGUGCCAGCAGCCGCGGUAAUACGAAGGGAGCGAGCGUUGUUCGGAAUUACUGGGCGUAAAGGGCAUGUAGGCGGACUGUAAAGAUAGGGGUGAAAUCCCGGGGCUCAACCUCGGAACUGCCUUUAUAACUUACAAUCUAGAGUACUGAAGAGGAUAGCGGAAUACCCAGUGUAGAGGUGAAAUUCGUAGAUAUUGGGUAGAACACCGGUGGCGAAGGCGGCUAUCUGGGCAGUAACUGACGCUGAGGUGCGAAAGUGUGGGGAGCAAACAGGAUUAGAUACCCUCGUAGUC
rnacentral:rRNA from 1 species